CACAAGUCCGCUUAAAAGGCUGUGCCGAGGAGCUGGCCAGUGGAGCCCGGCUCGGGGAAAGUGAAAGUUUGCCUCGGUGCUCUUGGCGCUGCCGCGGGUCCCUCCGCACUCCCGGGACAGCAGCGCGGCCCUCGGCCGGGGCGCGGACUCUGCAGCGGCCAGCAAGCGAGCGAGCGCGGGCGGCCGACGCGCCCGGCCGGGACCCAGCUGCCCGUAUGACCGCGCCGGGCGCCGCCGGGCGCUGCCCUCCUACGACAUGGCUAGGCCCUCUGCUGCUGCUGGUCUGUCUCCUGGUGAGCAGGAGUACCGCCGAGGAGGUGUCGGAGAACUGUAGCCACAUGAUUGGGGACGGACACCUGAAGGUCCUGCAGCAGCUGAUUGACAGUCAGAUGGAGACCUCGUGCCAAAUUGCCUUUGAGUUUGUAGACCAGGAGCAGUUGACGGAUCCAGUGUGCUAUCUGAAGAAGGCCUUUCUCCAGGUGCAGGACAUACUGGAUGAAACCAUGCGCUUCAGAGACAACACUCCCAAUGCCAACGUCAUUGUCCAGCUCCAGGAACUCUCUCUGAGGCUCAACAGCUGCUUCACCAAGGACUACGAAGAGCAGGACAAGGCCUGUGUCCGAACUUUCUAUGAGACGCCCCUCCAGUUGCUGGAGAAGAUCAAGAAUGUCUUUAAUGAAACAAAGAAUCUCCUUAAAAAGGACUGGAACAUUUUCAGCAAGAACUGCAACAAUAGCUUUGCUAAAUGCUCCAGCCAGGAUGUGGUGACCAAGCCUGAUUGCAACUGCCUGUACCCCAAAGCCACCCCUAGCAGUGACCUGGCCUCUGUCUCCCCUCAGCAGCCCCUCACCCCCUUCAUGGCCCCUGUGGUUGGCUUGACCUGGGCUGACUCUGAGGGGACAGAGGGCAGCUCCCUCUUGCCCCAAGAGCAGCCCCCUCGCACAGUGGACCCAGGCGGUGCCAAGCAGCGACCACCCAGGAGCACCUGCCAGACCUUUGAGUCAUCGGAGACCCCAGGCGUCGAGGACAGCACCACCGGAGGUUCACCACAGCCCCACUCCUCUGUGGGAGCCCCCGUCACUGGGAUGGAAGACAUUCUUGGCUCUAUGCUGGGCACUGAUUUGGCCCUGGAAGAGGCCUCUGGAGAGGCCAGUGAGGGGCCCCUACCCCUAGGGGCCAAGCCCUCCCCCUCCAGGCUGCAGGGAGACAGCGUCCAGGCGGAGAGGGCCAGACCGAGCCACCUUCUCUCAGCAUUUUCCCCACUUUCCGGACCGGCAAAGGGCUGGCAGCCUGCGGAUGUAAUUAGCCCGCUCCCGCCCACGGAGGCCACCGGGAGACCCACUGAGGCCUGGAGCCACACACUUGAGAAGACAGUCCGUCCAUCUGCCUUGCCCAGAGACCGCCUGGAGCCAGGCUCCGCCAGGACCCCAGCACCGCACCCACGAAGCCUCAGCAGUCCCUCCACGCUCUCCUCUCAGCCAGGCCUCCCCGGAAGCCGCCCCUGGGGCCACGUGCUGUCCCCUGGGGAGCUGGAAGGCAAAAGGAGCACCAGGGACCGGAGGAGCCCCGCAGAGCUGGAAGGAGGACAGGCAAUUGAGGGGGCGCCCAGACACCUAGCCUAUUUUAACCCCAUUCCUUUGACUGAUGCAGGCCAUGAGAGGCAGCCCGAGGGACGCUCCGACCCCCAGCUCCCUGGCUUUGUCUUGCGCCUGCUCGUGCCCAGCAUCAUCCUGGUCCUGCUGGCCGUCGGCGGCCUCUUGUUCUACAGGCGGAGGCGAGCCUUCGAGAGCCUUGGACAGUGGAUCCUCCCAUGGAGCAACCAGAGGGCAGCCCCCUGACCCAGGAUGAGGACAGACAGGUGGAAUUGCCAGUGUAAAGGGAAUUCUAAGCUGGGCGCACAGGACAGACUCUUCGUGCGAGGAGACUUAUGGGGGCGUCCACCACCACCCCUCCCCAGCCAUUCUCCUGGGAACACAGCCUGCCCCCGGGGAGAGCUCCUGCCUGCCAGGACUAGACCAGAGCCGCCAGCCUGGGGCCCCUCCGCCCUUGACCCUCAGACUCUGGACUGACUAAAAGAGGCUGGAGGAUGCCCCCACAUUGCUGAGGCUCCCAUCUGCUCGGGGAAGGCCGGCAAGCCCGGCUGGGGACCCUCCGGGGCUGCAUCCACCUCCCGCUCCCCUCCAAGCUGGCACCUGGGCCCGGGACCCAGAGGCCUGUGGGAUGCGGGAGAGCAGGGUGGGCGCUGAGGAAUGGAAGAGGCCUUGUGCCCAGAGGAACUGCCUGGUGCCAAGGGAUCCUAACAGCGACAAGCAGGGACGUGUCUCCAGAGAGAGAAGCGUGAGACUCACAGGGCGGGACAGCGUCGCUGGAUUUCCUGUAAGGUGUGUAGCCCAGAAGAUGGGAAGAGAAGGCCUCUGGGCCUGCUGCUCUGCACUGACAGCCUCAAGGGGCCUGCGCCCCCCACUUGCCUGAGCGCCCUCUGCUGGUGGCCAGGCGGAGAGGGGAGGCCAAUCGUACCCUCAGGACCUGCCUGGCCCAGCCCAUGAUGCCAAGGGGAAGACCAGCUCUGGCCUCUGCCCCGCCGUGCCCCAGCCCUGCCAGAGCUUCUCCGGGAGGCCGCACAGAGGCUGUCCUCAAGGAGGAAGCCAUUGCACUGUGAAUACUGAACCUGCCUGCUGAGCAGCCUGCCCCAUCCGUCCCAGAGAGCAGACACCCCCCCCCUCCCCCCCACCCCAUCCUCCCACCUCUCCAGCCUCUCCCCAGCUUCCUGCACUGAGUGCCCGAGCCGGCCUCACCUGUCGACUGAGGGAGCCCCUGAGCCCUGACCUUCUGCUGACCCCGCUCUGUCUCCCUGGGGUGGAUCGGGGUGGGAGCACCGCCCGGGCCGCCAGCCGGAGCCGGUCUUUAGGCUGCGUUGUCCGCCCAGGUUUCUGCAUCUUGCACUUUGACAUUCCCAAGAGGGAAGUGACUAGUGGGAGGGGGAGAAAAGGAGGGCAGGGACACACACAGAGAGGCUACAGGCUGCACUCUGACUGCAAAUGGGCCUUUGAAAGGAUGGGCCCGCUCCCGAGAUGGGGGCAGAGGUCCGCACCCCUGACCCCCCCAGCCCAGUCUCUUGCUGCAACCCCAACCACGGCUCCAAGACUGCUGCCGAUAGGCACCUGGGCUGAGCGGGUCGUCCCUUGUUAGGGGGCCAGUAGGCAGCGACACCCUCCAGCUCCUGCCCCACCCCUCACCAGCACCGUCUCUCUGCCCAGGCAAGCCAGGGUGGGAGAGGGACUCGGAGGGCCCUGGCACCCGCCUCCAAGUCUGCCUUGAGGGCCUCAGCUUCCUGGGAGCCCACGGCUGCAGCUCUGAGAUCCGGACAGCAGGUGACGGCUGUCGAUUGGCCUCGGUCCCUUUGUGCUUCCGGAUCCCUCCUCUCCUGCUGCCCUGGGCCCUCCACUGAGAGACCCUGCCCUACUUGGCCGCUGCACCAGGGCCCUUCCUGCCCUUGAAAGUGAAGGUCCACUGGUCCCUGCCUCCCCUGCCCUGUUGCUGUCAGCAAAGGCAAGGGCAUUGGAGAACUUUCCCUGUCGGGGUCCUUUUGCUAGUCACAGACUCUAUAUUUGAUACUAAAAAAAUAUCUAUUUAAAAACAUGGAAGGAAAAAACAACACAGAAAAAAGGCAUUCCUCCCUCACUCCCCUCCUUAAACAUAUAGUAUUUUGAAAGUCAAGAAAGCAAAUCCAACUCAUCGCAGAAGCUCUUUGAGGGCUCUUGGGGCACAGGAGUGGGAGGGCCCUUAGCCCCCCUCUGGGUGUCUCCCCAGCUACCUGCACAGGAACCUUCUUUUCUCUGAGAAAGCCGAGAGGGAACAUUGGCUCACACACUGUGAGAUUUUUGUUUUUAUACUUGGAAGUGGUGAAUUAUUUUAUAUGAAGUCAUUUAAAUAUCUAUUUAAAAAAUAGGAAGCUGCUUAUAUAUUUAAUAAUAAAAGAAGUGCACAAGCUGCUAUGUGUGA